rnacentral:rRNA from 1 species
AUGCAGUCGAACGGUGUCUUCGGACACAGUGGCGGACGGGUGAGUAACGCGUUAGAAUCUGCCUCUAGGUUGGGGACAACAGUUGGAAACGACUGCUAAUACCCGAUGUGCCGUAAGGUAAAAGAUUUAUUGCCUGGAGAGGAGCUCGCGUCUGAUUAGCUAGUUGGUGGGGUAAAAGCCCACCAAGGCAGCGAUCAGUAGCUGGUCUGAGAGGAUGAGCAGCCACACUGGGACUGAGACACGGCCCAGACUCCUACGGGAGGCAGCAGUGGGGAAUUUUCCGCAAUGGGCGAAAGCCUGACGGAGCAAUACCGCGUGAGGGAGGAAGGCCUUUGGGUUGUAAACCUCUUUUCUCAGGGAAGAAGAUCUGACGGUACCUGAGGAAUAAGCAUCGGCUAACUCCGUGCCAGCAGCCGCGGUAAUACGGAGGAUGCAAGCGUUAUCCGGAAUCAUUGGGCGUAAAGCGUCCGCAGGUGGUUUUUCAAGUCUGCUGUUAAAGACUGGAGCUCAACUCCGGAAAGGCAGUGGAAACUGGAAGACUAGAGUUCGGUAGGGGUAGCGGGAAUUCCCAGUGUAGCGGUGAAAUGCGUAGAUAUUGGGAAGAACAUCGGUGGCGAAGGCGCGCUACUGGACCGAAACUGACACUCAGGGACGAAAGCUAGGGGAGCGAAAGGGAUUAGAUACCCCUGUAGUCCUAGCUGUAAACGAUGGAAACUAGGUGUGGCUUGUAUCGACCCGAGCCGUGCCGUAGCUAACGCGUUAAGUUUCCCGCCUGGGGAGUACGCACGCAAGUGUGAAACUCAA